GGAGGCGAAUGGGUGCCUGGUGGCCCCCCGGUCUUCAAAACCGGUGACGCCGAGUCUUUCGGCGUGGCGGGUUCGAUUCCCCUCCGCCUCCGCCA
rnacentral:tRNA from 1 species